rnacentral:lncRNA from 10 species
CUUUCUCUGUCUGUCUUUAUUUAUUUUUUCCUUCUUUUGGCUUCUCAGUCGCUUGAGUACAAGGCGUGGUGAAGGCAUAUAAAUUACACCAGAAACUGCAAGCUAUGUCUUAUGUCUACCUCUCUAGCUGACAGGGGAGGCAGGGGAAAUUUCUCUUCCAAUUGCCUGCUCUGAAGGUCAUCCAAACAUAAUUAUGGGGUGGGGUGGGUAAAGUCUUUUAUUCUUUUAAUCGUCCAACCGAUAGUUCUCAACACAUAUCUUGUUAAGAGACUGUUUUGGGUAUAGCAAUUCGCAGUGAAUAAAAUACAGAUAUUCUCACCUUUGUGAUACUACGUCAAUGUUGGGGGGAGUGGGGAGAAAGAGACAGAAGCAAAAAAGAAAAAUAAACAAGAAGUCAUGUGAUAUUAUCUACUGGGAGGGAGUCAUUAGGCAGUAAAGGACUCGGCAGUGUGGAGGUGACACAUUCACUUUUCAGGAGAAGAAUCAGGGAAGUUGUCACCUUGAAGAUAUCAUUUAGCUUCCCUUUCUUCCAAUAGUCUUUCUUUACAUGGGAAAUGAGGACUCUAGGAUUCUCCGGCUGGAUCUCAGCACCUAGAGAUGGAUCUGGGCAAUAGGAACUGCUCAGUAAGCAUUACCUACUGCUUUGGUUGCCUUCUCCCUGGCCUCUUGGAUUGAGCUUGCAUCAUACGUGUUCAGUAGGAACUUGCUUAGUGGAUUUACAGGUUGAGGUUAGAACUCACCGGGAUUCUCUUCCUGGAGAGAACAGGCUUCCCUCUAAGGUUUCAUAUAGACCCCGGGUGAGGAAAGAGCCCUAAAUGGCUUGAAAAAUUGAAUGCUCUUUGGGCAAAGCAAGAAGCGCACUGACACAGUCAAUGUGGAUAAAUCUCAAUCCUUUAAUAUCUUUAUGACUUCUUUCUCUUUCUCCCCAGAUCCAGUUUUUCCAUUUUCAAGUUCUUUGACAUUUAAAACUAAAAACCUUUCCCUAAAAUGCUGCUUUUCUACCUGGAAUUUUUUCAAUGAGUCUUUAGCUUUUAUAAUAUUCUCCCAACAUAUCUCCAAGCAUCCAGGCUUUUCAAUCACUACUUCCCUCCGUGUAUAUUUUACACACACACACACACACACACACACACACACACUCCACUUAAAUUGAACAGGCAUAUUUCUUUACACAGGAAUUCCUACAAACAUUCCACCCUAUACCUACCCUAGGUUUUCUCCACCCUAUGUCCACUCUUUCUCUGCAUUGCUGAAUGUGUUUUCUUUAUUCUUUCACUCUGAUAUGAUCUUUGUCUCUUAUUCUUUAUGCCUCUUAUCUGCAUUUUUUUGUUAUUAUUGUUCUGCCAUGCAGUUGGAUAUGUAACUUUUACAUGACACACCUUAGCAAGAAGACAACACAUGUCUCAGAUGUAAGUAAGAAAAACACUCUCCAGGGAUUUCCUGGUGUAGUGCUCAGCACCCUGGCCUCAUUCCUGAAAGUCCCUCGGUGUGGAAAAAGCAGGAGCUCUUUGCCUUCCAGAAAUCUGCAUCAUCCCACAGCCUCAGCUACAAGAAACAAGUGACAAUGCCAUCUCUUUUCUUUUAAAAAAAUCAUUUAAGCUUCCUGAGAUAUCUGUGACACAUUAGCUGGGCAGGGUCCUUCUGUGGGACAUGUCAUUUUCCGUCUCGGAAUAUGUGAAACUUGACAUUUUGGCAACACCAGAGUUUUCCCUUUGUGACUUUCUCCUUGUUCCCUUUUCUCCUCCCUCCUCACAGAGAAUAAGUACCCACUGCACUCUUGCCCUGGGCCAUCAAUGAGAAGAUCUGCUCUUAGUGGAGCCCUGCUUUCGCGGUGAAGGCCUUGAAGUCGCGUGUGUUCUAGACUGCCCACUAAGGAUGAAAAAAGAUGCUGUGAGAUGAAGAAGUAGCUCAAGUGGUGGAGUGCUCGCUUAGCAUGUGAGAGGUAGUGGGAUUGAUGCCCACAUUCUCCAGGUUUCACUAGUCGGACCUCAGGUCUCCAGGUUACAGUGGAAAAAAAUAUGUGUUAGACACUGAUCUCAGAAAACAGUAAGUUAGACACUCAUCUCAGUAGCAGCCUGGACACUUCUUUGGCUCAUUAUGUAAGGGCAGCAACAAUACGGGCUUGACUAAGAUUCUACUGGUAUGUGGUAUAGUAUAGAUCUAUCGAUGUGUAAUUAGUUUUCUGUUUCUUUGAGGAGCUGUGAUACAAAGGGACAUAUCCAGUUGCACUUAUUCUCCCUGUUUCCUCCUGCAGCUUGGUCCUAAAUGCAGCAUAAUUAUGGAAAGCGCAGGGCAGAGCCACUCAGGUAAAUACAGCCCCAGCUUUCUGAUCGGGAGACCGAAACUAGGAGUUGCCAAGUAACCAGGAAAGACACUGUGGAGAGCAAACCUGUCAAGUUGUAUGUGAACUCCUGGAUGCGCCUGUGAGCUGUGAAUAAGUGGCUCUGAUCAAAGACAACUUAUCUAAAAAGAGCCUGAGAAUCGAACUAAGUGAUAGCCUACUUUCCAGUCCUCACUGGCCACUGGGUUGCACAUACUCCAGAGUCUCUGAAUAGCAGUGUUAAGGCUUUGAAAAUAGAAUCGACUUUGAAACUACAACACACAAGGCUGGCUGGUUAUUGGAACUUGAACACAAGGCAAUCACAUGCCUGCAAAAACAAAAAUAGCAAUAUUAUCCUUAAGAUUUCAACAAGACACAGUGUCUCAUCACAUAAUGCAAAGUACAACCCCAAAAUAUUCAGCAUAUGAAGAACCAGGGCAAUCUUAAUUCACUUGGCAAAGAGAAUCCUCGAAUAACAAUACUGAGAAGACACAGAUGUUACAAUCAUCUGACACAUACUUUUAAGCAGUUAUUACAACAAUGC